AAAGGGAAAUCAAGAAAUGAGAAAUCGGGAAAUCGGAAAUAGAGAAAGCAAAAAAAAUGAGUUCAUCGCUUUUAGCGUUUUCCUGAUUCUCUUUCGUGUUUUGGCCGUUUUUGCUUUCUUGAUUUCUCGAUUUCCCGAAUUUCCCCUUUUCUCAUUUCUUGAUCUCGAACUU
rnacentral:sRNA from 1 species